rnacentral:rRNA from 1 species
GACGAACGCUGGCGGCGUGCUUAACACAUGCAAGUCGAGCGGUAAAGGCCCUUUCGGGGGUACACGAGCGGCGAACGGGUGAGUAACACGUGGGUGACCUGCCCUUAGCUCUGGGAUAAGCCUGGGAAACUGGGUCUAAUACCGGAUAUGACUCCAUGACGCAUGUUGUGGGGUGGAAAGCCUUGUGCGGCUAGGGAUGGGCCUGCGGCCUAUCAGCUUGUUGGUGGGGUGAUGGCCUACCAAGGCGACGACGGGUAGCCGGCCUGAGAGGGCGACCGGCCACACUGGGACUGAGACACGGCCCAGACUCCUACGGGAGGCAGCAGUGGGGAAUCUUGCGCAAUGGGCGAAAGCCUGACGCAGCGACGCCGCGU